UAAAGAUUUCUUCCUAAAGUGGCCUCUUUGAUUAGGGCCCCUUCUUUUGCCAACUAAACAAAGUAACUGAGAAAAGUGGCGUUUAAGAGGUCAUUUCCCUUUUGUUUAUGGUUCUAGAAGACCUGUCCUGUCAUUUUCCGUGGAGGAAUGCCAGUGAAACUCCCUUCCCUGGGGCAAGCUGACGGCUCCUCCCACUUUUCAGAGGAGUCCUGGGCCUGAGGAGGAGGCUGCAGCCUUUCUGUGGGAGGAGUGGGAGAUUACCCAGAAACACACUUGCUCAAAGGACAGCAGACCUUCGGAAGCAGGUUGAAGGGACAUCCCAGAAACUGAGGUGAGCAGUUACCAGACGGCAUAAAGAAAAAAAAAAUGAAGGAAAAGCCAUCCACUUCCUGAACUGCCGCUCCUCUCUCCUCCUCUCACUUUCUCUGGAGACAGCAACUUAAAAAUAGCUCAGCCUCACGUGACCAAGUGGCAUCCUGGAUUCAGGAGGAGUUUUGAAUGUUUGUUUUAGAGUCUGCCUUACCCACAUAAGUGUGUGAGUAUGGGCAGCCUUGGCCUCUGAAUCUCGACAAAAGGUCAAAUGACCUCAGUGCAAGAGGAAAGGAGACAGUACUCUUUGGCGGAACUAUGAUGAAUGACCCAUGGCAUGAUCUGACCCAACAGAAACAUGGAGGAUGACCCACACACGUUACGAGAAGGCCCUUUGUCUUCAGUGGGUAAAGCAGAGCGUGAGGAUAAACAUUUACUAAGAUCCUAUCUUUGCCGCUUCCAAUGUGAAGUUCCCUUAUGUCAGGCUUUUCAUAAAAGGAGAUGAUAAUUGAAGUGACCACAGGACCAUGUGUGUAGUUGAAUUUAUAACACAUAAAGUGAAUGUUUUGUACCUUACGGUAUUUUAUUAAUUACAGAUAGAUGGGAUCCGUGGACAUUCCUAGAAACAUGGAUUUUCCCUUCCUGCCCAAACUGAGAUCAUUUUUUUUUCUUUAUUUUUUUGGUACGGUAUUUGGGGGAGGGGAGGAGUUGGGAAAGAGUCUCACAUUUAGCCCGAACUGGCCUUGAGCUCAAAGCAGUCCUCUUGCCCCAGCCUCCCGAGUGCUAAGCUGUAAGGUGAAAUUGCCUUGCCUUGCUUACCAUUUAUUCUCUAUAAUUUUUAUAGUGCAAUGCCACAGCUUAAAGGAAGUAUUUGCUACUACUUACUGACCAACCUUGUGUGCACCAGAGGCUUCCCUGGUCACAGAGAGCAGCCUGGGACACUGUUGCAGAUGGUUCGCUAUUGUGGGUUUCAUCCAUCGUCUAGUCUCCUGAGCCGCUGGAUUUGACUCUUCCUAGAUUAAAGCGAACUCUUAAAGGAAUACGUUUGAGUUUGCAGCCCUGACGUUCUUGAGUAAAUCUGCACAUUUUAGAUUGAUUUGGGUCAGGCUAAUCUUUCCCCUUCUUGCCAUGAAAUGUUUAACCACUGGAUAAACCAGUAAAAACAUUGGGUAAGCCUGGAUGGGCAUGGUCUUCCCAAGAACCCUCAUUGAAAACUAGGUUUGGUUUAAGAUUUUUGAAAAUCUUGAGCUGGCUCCCUUUGCAAGGUUCUUGUCGAUUGUGUUGGGUGGGCUACACAGUCUAGGGGUUUGUAACCCACCCGCAAUCAAGUUACUCCAGGGUCUCGGAGGGGCGCUACCUGGAAGGGAAUGAGCUAAGACAGAAGAAGGAGGCCAAGCAGUUUUGUCAAAGCCUCCGUUUAUUAGGGACGGGUUACAGUUUAUAUAUGGUAAGGAAUGGGGGGCAGGGCAAGGGAUCUCGCCGCCGAGUGGUUCCGGUCAUGUAGGCCAGGUCGGACAGACAGGCCAGAAGUCACUGGUUGCCACACCUAGUUCCCUGGAUAGCUGGAAUGUGAGGUGGGUUCCGCUUAACAGAUUAACAGUUAAUUGGAUGUGCGGUUCUCUGCAGACCCCCUAGGGUGAUGGUUCCUGUAAUGAUUGGGGGGAAAUGGCUCCUGACAGGUUCUUGCCUUGAAAGUGUGAGGAUGUGAAUUUGGACCCCGAGGCCCAUGUCAAAAACUGGCUGUGUACCACAUGCCUGUGAUCCAGCAAUGGUGACAUGGGAGGUAAGGCCCAGAGGCCUGGAAGCACGACCUACACGACAAGGCUCCUGGACAGUGAAAGACUCUGUCUCCAGGAAAAGGUAGAAGGCACCGAAGGACUGACCCCUGAGCUUGUCCUCUGAUCUCUGUGUGCACACCAUACUACCAGACCCCAGUACAAAACUAUCAAGAAAAUUUUUUGACUACUUUGUUAAACAGACAUUAAACGUGUUAUUGGUCCUGAUAAUCUAUUACAUUUAUCUAUUAUGUGUGUAUGUGUGUGGAGGUGUACAGGAGGCAGUGUCCUGGGAGGUGGGGAGAGAUGGAGCUC